GUGAGGAAUUUUCCGCAAUGGGCGAAAGCCUGACGGAGCAAUGCCGCGUGAAGGAUGAAGGCCUAUGGGUUGUAAACUUCUUUUCUCAGAAAAGAAUUAUGACGGUAUCUGAGGAAUAAGCAUCGGCUAACUCUGUGCCAGCAGCCGCGGUAAGACAGAGGAUGCAAGCGUUAUCCGGAAUGAUGGGGCGUAAAGCGUCUGUAGGUUGUUUAAAAAGUAUUCUGUCAAAGAUUAGGGCUUAACCCUAGAUAGGCAGAAUAAACUUUUAAGCUAGAGUUUGGUAGAGGCAGAGGGAAUUCCCGGUGGAGCGGUGAAAUGCGUAGAUAUCGGGAGGAACACCAAAGGCGAAGGCACUCUGCUGGGCCAAUACUAACACUGAGAGACGAAAGCGAGGGGAGCAAAUGGGAUUAGAUACCCUGGUAGUCC
rnacentral:rRNA from 1 species